GAUGAACGCUGGCGGCGUGCCUAAUACAUGCAAGUCGAGCGAACGGACGAGAAGCUUGCUUCUCUGAUGUUAGCGGCGGACGGGUGAGUAACACGUGGAUAACCUACCUAUAAGACUGGGAUAACUUCGGGAAACCGGAGCUAAUACCGUAUAAUAUUUUGAACCGCAUGGUUCAAAAGUGAAAGACGGUCUUUCUGUCACUUAUAGAUGGAUCCGCGCUGCAUUAGCUAGUUGGUAAGGUAACUGCUUACCAAGGCAACGAUGCAUAGCCGACCUGAGAGGGUGAUCGGCCACACUGGAAUUGAGACACGGUCAAGACUACUACGGGAGGCAGCAGUAGGGAAUCUUCCGCAAUGGGCGAAAGCCUGACGGAGCAACGCCGCGUGAGUGAUGAAGGUCUUCGGAUCGUAAAACUCUGUUAUUAGGGAAGAACAUAUGUGUAAGUAACUGUGCACAUAUUGACGGUACCUAAUCAGAAAGCCACGGCUAACUACGUG
rnacentral:rRNA from 1 species